rnacentral:rRNA from 1 species
UACAGAGGUCUCAAGCGUUGUUCGGAUUCAUUGGGCGUAAAGGGUGCGUAGGCGGCGCGGUAAGUCGGGUGUGAAAUCUUGGAGCUUAACUCCGGAACUGCAUUUGAUACUGGCGUGCUUGAGGACUGGAGAGGGGACUGGAAUUCAUGGUGUAGCAGUGAAAUGCGUAGAGAUCAUGAGGAAGACCAGUGGCGAAGGCGGGUCUCUGGACAGUUCCUGACACUGAGGCACGAAGGCCAGGGGAGCAAACGGG